CACGUAGGGGGCAAGCGUUGUCCGGAAUUAUUGGGCGUAAAGAGCUCGUAGGCGGCUCGGUAAGUCAGGUGUCAAAUCCUCAGGCUCAACCUGGGGCUCCACCUGAUACUGCUGUGGCUAGAGUCCGGUAGGGGAGCGUGGAAUUCCUGGUGUAGCGGCGAAAUGCGCAGAUAUCAGGAGGAACACCAGCGGCGAAGGCGGCGCUCUGGGCCGGAACUGACGCUGAGGAGCGAAAGCGUGGGUAGCAAACAGG
rnacentral:rRNA from 1 species